rnacentral:tRNA from 1 species
UGGAAUGUAGCUCAGUGGUAGAGCAACGUAUAAACUAGCGUCGCAGGUUCGAUUCCUGCCAUUCCCA